rnacentral:rRNA from 1 species
AUGGCCGGAAGGAAGGGCGGCGACAGGAAGAAGUCGGUGACCAGGUCCGUCAAGGCUGGGCUCCAGUUCCCCGUCGGCCGCAUCGGGCGCUACCUCAAGAAGGGCCGCUACGCGCAGCGCGUCGGCUCUGGCGCCCCCGUCUACCUCGCCGCCGUCCUCGAGUACCUCGCCGCCGAGGUGUUGGAGCUGGCCGGCAACGCUGCCAAGGACAACAAGAAGACCCGCAUCAUCCCGCGCCACCUGCUGCUCGCCGUCCGCAACGACCAGGAGCUCGGCAGGCUGCUCGCCGGCGUCACCAUCGCCCACGGCGGCGUGAUCCCCAACAUCAACUCCGUGCUUCUCCCCAAGAAGUCCCCCGCCGCCGCCGAGAAGGAGGCCAAGUCGCCCAAGAAGAAGACCACCACCAAGUCCCCCAAGAAGAAGGUCGCCACCAAGGAGUAG